rnacentral:rRNA from 1 species
AGCGUGGAGACAGGUGGUGCAUGGCUGUCGUCAGCUCGUGUCGUGAGAUGUUGGGUUAAGUCCCGCAACGAGCGCAACCCUCACCCCUUGUUGCUACCAGGUAAAGCUGGGCACUCUAGGGGAACUGCCCCGGUCAACGGGGAGGAAGGCGGGGAUGACGUCAAGUCAUCAUGCCCCUUACGUCCUGGGCUACACACGUGCUACAAUGGCCGGUACAAAGGGAUGCCGCACCGCGAGGUAGAGCUAAACCCAAAAAGCCGGUCUAAGUUCAGAUUGGAGUCUGCAACUCGACUCCAUGAAGGAGGAAUCGCUAGUAAUCGCGUAUCAGCACGACGCGGUGAAUACGUUCCCGGGCCUUGUACACACCGCCCGUCACACCACGAAAGCCAGCUGUACUCGAAGUCGCUGAG